rnacentral:rRNA from 1 species
UUUGGUUAAGUUAGAAAGGGCGCACGGUGGAUGCCUUGACACUAGGAGUCGAUGAAGGACGGGACUAACGCCGAUAUGCUUCGGGGAGCUGUAAGUAAGCUUUGAUCCGAAGAUUUCCGAAUGGGGAAACCCACCAUACGUAAUGGUAUGGUAUCCUUAUCUGAAUACAUAGGGUAAGGAAGACAGACCCAGGGAACUGAAACAUCUAAGUACCUGGAGGAAGAGAAAGCAAAUGCGAUUUCCUGAGUAGCGGCGAGCGAAACGGAACAUAGCCCAAACCAAGAGGCUUGCCUCUUGGGGUUGUAGGACAUUCUAUACGGAGUUACAAAGGAACGAGGUAGACGAAGCGACCUGGAAAGGUCCGUCGUAGAGGGUAACAACCCCGUAGUCGAAACUUCGUUCUCUCUUGAAUGUAUCCUGAGUACGGCGGAACACGUGAAAUUCCGUCGGAAUCUGGGAGGACCAUCUCCCAAGGCUAAAUACUCCCUAGUGAUCGAUAGUGAACCAGUACCGUGAGGGAAAGGUGAAAAGCACCCCGGAAGGGGAGUGAAAGAGAUCCUGAAACCGUGUGCCUACAAAUAGUCAGAGCCCGUUAACGGGUGAUGGCGUGCCUUUUGUAGAAUGAACCGGCGAGUUACGAUCCCGUGCGAGGUUAAGCUGAAGAGGCGGAGCCGCAGCGAAAGCGAGUCUGAAUAGGGCGUUUAGUACGUGGUCGUAGACCCGAAACCAGGUGAUCUACCCAUGUCCAGGGUGAAGUUCAGGUAACACUGAAUGGAGGCCCGAACCCACGCACGUUGAAAAGUGCGGGGAUGAGGUGUGGGUAGCGGAGAAAUUCCAAUCGAACCUGGAGAUAGCUGGUUCUCCCCGAAAUAGCUUUAGGGCUAGCCUUAAGUGUAAGAGUCUUGGAGGUAGAGCACUGAUUGGACUAGGGGUCCUCAUCGGAUUACCGAAUUCAGUCAAACUCCGAAUGCCAAUGACUUAUCCUUAGGAGUCAGACUGCGAGUGAUAAGAUCCGUAGUCAAAAGGGAAACAGCCCAGACCGCCAGCUAAGGUCCCAAAGUGUGUAUUAAGUGGAAAAGGAUGUGGAGUUGCUUAGACAACUAGGAUGUUGGCUUAGAAGCAGCCACCAUUUAAAGAGUGCGUAAUAGCUCACUAGUCGAGUGACUCUGCGCCGAAAAUGUACCGGGGCUAAAUACACCACCGAAGCUGCGGAUUGAUACCGAAUGGUAUCAGUGGUAGGGGAGCGUUCUAAGGACAGUGAAGUCAGACCGGAAGGACUGGUGGAGUGCUUAGAAGUGAGAAUGCCGGUAUGAGUAGCGAAAGACGGGUGAGAAUCCCGUCCACCGAAUGCCUAAGGUUUCCUGAGGAAGGCUCGUCCGCUCAGGGUUAGUCAGGACCUAAGCCGAGGCCGACAGGCGUAGGCGAUGGACAACAGGUUGAUAUUCCUGUACCACCUCUUUAUCGUUUGAGCAAUGGAGGGACGCAGAAGGAUAGAAGAAGCGUGCGAUUGGUUGUGCACGUCCAAGCAGUUAGGCUGAUAAGUAGGCAAAUCCGCUUAUYGUAAAGGCUGAGCUGUGAUGGGGAAGCUCCUUAUGGAGCGAAGUCUUUGAUUCCCCGCUGCCAAGAAAAGCUUCUAGCGAGAUAAAAGGUGCCUGUACCGCAAACCGACACAGGUAGGCGAGGAGAGAAUCCUAAGGUGUGCGAGAGAACUCUGGUUAAGGAACUCGGCAAAAUGACCCCGUAACUUCGGGAGAAGGGGUGCUUUCUUAACGGAAAGCCGCAGUGAAUAGGCCCAAGCGACUGUUUAGCAAAAACACAGCUCUCUGCGAAGCCGUAAGGCGAAGUAUAGGGGGUGACACCUGCCCGGUGCUGGAAGGUUAAGGAGAGGGGUUAGCGUAAGCGAAGCUCUGAACUGAAGCCCCAGUAAACGGCGGCCGUAACUAUAACGGUCCUAAGGUAGCGAAAUUCCUUGUCGGGUAAGUUCCGACCCGCACGAAAGGUGUAACGAUUUGGGCACUGUCUCAACCAGAGACUCGGUGAAAUUAUAGUACCUGUGAAGAUGCAGGUUACCCGCGACAGGACGGAAAGACCCCGUGGAGCUUUACUGUAGCCUGAUAUUGAAUUUUGGUACAGUUUGUACAGGAUAGGCGGGAGCCUUUGAAACCGGAGCGCUAGCUUCGGUGGAGGCGCUGGUGGGAUACCGCCCUGACUGUAUUGAAAUUCUAACCUACGGGUCUUAUCGACCCGGGAGACAGUGUCAGGUGGGCAGUUUGACUGGGGCGGUCGCCUCCUAAAGUGUAACGGAGGCGCCCAAAGGUUCCCUCAGAAUGGUUGGAAAUCAUUCGUAGAGUGCAAAGGCAUAAGGGAGCUUGACUGCGAGACCUACAAGUCGAGCAGGGACGAAAGUCGGGCUUAGUGAUCCGGUGGUUCCGCAUGGAAGGGCCAUCGCUCAACGGAUAAAAGCUACCCCGGGGAUAACAGGCUUAUCUCCCCCAAGAGUCCACAUCGACGGGGAGGUUUGGCACCUCGAUGUCGGCUCAUCGCAUCCUGGGGCUGUAGUCGGUCCCAAGGGUUGGGCUGUUCGCCCAUUAAAGCGGUACGCGAGCUGGGUUCAGAACGUCGUGAGACAGUUCGGUCCCUAUCCGUCGUGGGCGUAGGAAAUUUGAGAGGAGCUGUCCUUAGUACGAGAGGACCGGGAUGGACGCACCGCUGGUGUACCAGUUGUUCUGCCAAGGGCAUAGCUGGGUAGCUAUGUGCGGAAGGGAUAAGUGCUGAAAGCAUCUAAGCAUGAAGCCCCCCUCAAGAUGAGAUUUCCCAUAGCGUAAGCUAGUAAGAUCCCUGAAAGAUGAUCAGGUUGAUAGGUUCGAGGUGGAAGCAUGGUGACAUGUGGAGCUGACGAAUACUAAUAGAUCGAGGACUUAACCAUAUAA